GACGAACGCUGGCGGCGUGCUUAACACAUGCAAGUCGAGCGGUAAGGCCCUUUCGGGGGUACACGAGCGGCGAACGGGUGAGUAACACGUGGGUGACCUGCCCUCAGCUCUGGGAUAAGCCUGGGAAACCGGGUCUAAUACUGGAUAUGACUCCAUGACGCAUGUUGUGGGGUGGAAAGCCUUGUGCGGCUGAGGAUGGGCCCGCGGCCUAUCAGCUUGUUGGUGGGGUGAUGGCCUACCAAGGCGACGACGGGUAGCCGGCCUGAGAGGGCGACCGGCCACACUGGGACUGAGGACACGGCCCAGACUCCUACGGGAGGCAGCAGGUGGGAAUCUUGCGCAAUGGGCGAAAGCCUGACGCAGCGACGCCGCGUGAGGGAUGACGGCC
rnacentral:rRNA from 1 species